UUAAGAUGAUCAAGGGCUACAACUGAUCGAAUUUGCAAUUCAGGUCCUCUAUCAAUCGCCUUUUGCAUUAGGCAAACCGCAACCUCUCUCUCACGGCCAAUCGCACAUUUCACCAUCCAGAGCUUUGGAUCCCUGACAGAUGGCAAGAGAGCUUGCUGCUCAACAUCUGUUGCUUCCUCAUCAUACUCAACAUGAGGUGACCUCGCAUAUCUUUGCUUAAUGCUCCUCGUAAGCUCCUCAAGGUCUUCUUCUUGGUCCUCAUGCGGCAACAAUCGGUGACGAUAUUCACGUCUGGCACCAUCCUCGUCAGGAAUAUCUGCUCCACUAUCUACUAUGAAAUCAUCUUCGCCUUCUUCUUCCUCCUCAUCCUCAUCACUAUCUACAGCAGCUUCUAAGUCAAAAAACUCCGAACCAGUCCUCCGUUUAGGUCGUCUUCUCCCACCACCGCCUCCACCUCCACCGCCAUAAUCCUCAUCAUCAUCGUCCUCAUCCUCAUCGUCAUCUUCCUCCGCCGCAUCAUCAAUAAAAUCUGAUCUACGACGUUUCCGUCCAGCCUUCCCUCCAUCGUCCUCUUCCUCCUCGUCCUCCUCUUCAUACACGUCCUCUUCUUCCUCCUCUGGUUCAUCGUCAUCGUCGUCGUAGUCCCGGUGGCGCGGCAUAUCGGAAUUGCUUCGAAUUUGUAGAGUUGUGUUGAGUUAUAGAGAGAUUAUUCGAAAUCCUUAGGUCCAAGUGUUGAAAUGGGAAGGGUUCACUGGAUUGUAUAGGGUGAUG
rnacentral:misc_RNA from 1 species